GACGAACGCUGGCGGCGUGCUUAACACAUGCAAGUCGAACGGAAAGGCCCUGCUUGCAGGGUACUCGAGUGGCGAACGGGUGAGUAACACGUGGGUGAUCUGCCCUGCACUUCGGGAUAAGCCUGGGAAACUGGGUCUAAUACCGGAUAGGAGCCAUUUUUAGUGUGAUGGUUGGAAAGUUUUUUCGGUGUAGGAUGAGCUCGCGGCCUAUCAGCUUGUUGGUGGGGUAAUGGCCUACCAAGGCGGCGACGGGUAGCCGGCCUGAGAGGGUGGACGGCCACAUGGGGAUGUAGAGACGGCCGAGACCCCGACGGGAGGCAGGAGGGGGAAAGUUGGAACAAGGGGCGCCGGCUUGAUGCAGCACCGCCGAGUGGGGGAGGACGUUCUGCGGUUUGAAACCUCUUUUCGCUGGGGAGAAGGCUUUUUGUGACAUUACCUAGAAAAGAAGCCCGGGCAAGCUACGUC
rnacentral:rRNA from 1 species